GUGCUCCCUGUGGCAGCAAAUAUUUUAAAAUUGGAAUGAAACAGACAAGCUUACCAUGGUCCCUAUGCAAGGAUGACACACAAAUUUAUAGAGCAUUACAUAUAGCUU